CCUACGGGAGGCAGCAGUGGGGAAUAUUGCACAAUGGGCGAAAGCCUGAUGCAGCGACGCCGCGUGAGGGAUGACGGCCUUCGGGUUGUAAACCUCUUUCAGCAGGGAAGAAGCGAAAGUGACGGUACCUGCAGAAGAAGCGCCGGCUAACUACGUGCCAGCAGCCGCGGUAAUACGUAGGGCGCAAGCGUUGUCCGGAAUUAUUGGGCGUAAAGAGCUCGUAGGCGGCUUGUCGCGUCGGUUGUGAAAGCCCGGGGCUUAACCCCGGGUCUGCAGUCGAUACGGGCAGGCUAGAGUGUGGUAGGGGAGAUCGGAAUUCCUGGUGUAGCGGUGAAAUGCGCAGAUAUCAGGAGGAACACCGGUGGCGAAGGCGGAUCUCUGGGCCAUUACUGACGCUGAGGAGCGAAAGCGUGGGGAGCGAACAGGAUUAGAUACCCUGGUAGUCCACGCCGUAAACGGUGGGAACUAGGUGUUGGCGACAUUCCACGUCGUCGGUGCCGCAGCUAACGCAUUAAGUUCCCCGCCUGGGGAGUACGGCCGCAAGCUAAAACUCAAAGGAAUUGACGG
rnacentral:rRNA from 1 species